GUUCUUAUAGUUGAAUACAACAACAGUUUUUCAGACUGUAAGUCUAGGUUAAAGUCCUUGUAGGAAUU
rnacentral:tRNA from 1 species